CCCAACAUGGCUCUCCCAAAAUAUCAACAGCUCCCCAAAAACCCAACAUGGCUCCCCCAAAACCCAACAUGGCUCCCCCAAAACACCAAGAGCUCCCCCAAAAUCCAACAUGGCUCCCACCAAAACACAACAUGGCUCCCCCAAAAUACCAGGAGUUCCCCCAAAACACAACAUGGUUCCCCCAAAACACCAAGAGCCCCCACAAAACCCAACAUGGCUCCAUCAAAACAGCAUGAGCUCCCCCAAAACCCAACGUGGUUCCCCCAAAACCCAACAUGGCUCCCCAAAACACCAAGAGCUCCCCCAAAACCCAACAUGGUUCCCACAAAACCCCACAUGGUUCCCCAAAGCGCCAAGAGUUCCCCCAAAACCCAACAUGGUUCCCCCAAAAUACCAAGAGCUCCCCCAAAACGCCAACAUGGUUCCCCCAAAAUACCAAGAGCUCCCAAAAAACCCAACAUGGUUCCCCCAAAACCCAACAUGGUUCCCCCAAAACACCAAGAGUUCCCCCAAAACGCCAACACAUUUCCCAUAAUCCAACAUGGCUCCCCCAAAACCCAACAUGGUUCCCCAAAACGCCAAGAGUUCCCCCAAAAUCCAACAUGGCUCCCCAAAACACCAAGAGUUCCCCCAAGAUCCAACAUGGCUCCCCCAAAACCCAACAUGGCUCCCCCAAAAUAUCAACAGCUCCCCAAAAACCCAACAUGGCUCCCCCAAAACCCAACAUGGCUCCCCAAAACACCAAGAGCUCCCCCAAAAUCCAACAUGGCUCCCACCAAAACACAACAUGGUUCCCCCAAAACCCAACAUGGCUCCCACAAAACCCAAUGUGGUUCCCCCAAAACCCAACGUGGUUCCCCCAAAACACCAAGAGCUCCCAAAAAACCUAACAUGGUUCCCCCAAAACCCAACAUGGUUCCCCCAAAACACCAAGAGUUCCCCCAAAACCCAACAUGGUUCCCUAAAAAGCCAAGAGUUUCCCCCAAAACAGCCGCGUUUCCCCCUAAAACACAGCACAUCUGGCCCAAAAG
rnacentral:lncRNA from 1 species